AUGGAGACGGGACUGCCGGUCGUCGGGUGUCCUGGAAGCCGAAUGCGAAUGCGGAGGGGCUCGCGGGCCGCGCGGAGGCAACCCAGGUCGGGCCAACGGGCCGCACCUCUCGUCGCGGGGCGUGCUGUACUUGAGCCGCACGACCCGCGACCGGACUCCAGCCUGCUGACGCCGGCCCGCCCCCCCGAACACCGCCAACACCAGACCAGCAAGCGCCUGGCCGGGCCCGGGGGCCCGAGGGGCUUCCAGGACCCCCCAUUGACCGGGAGGGCGUGCGUGCAUGCGUGCGCGCGGGGCCUGGGGGCUGGGCUGAGGGGUGCGGAGGUCUCGGCGCCCUCCCACCCGCGGCUACUCCAGACCCGGCCGCUGCUGAGCGGGCCUCCCCGAUCCCAUUCGCUGCUCAGGCCCGCGGCCCGGGAGGGGCUGGGGCUGCGGGGGGGAUCCAAGAAUCGGGACGCGGCGGGGGCUAAAGGACCUCUUCUGGUAGGCAAAAAGCCUCGAGCACCCGGGAUUCCCAGGUGGUCUCCCAUCCAAGAUACUAACCAGGCCCGACCCUGCUUAGCUUCCGAGAUCAGACGAGAUCGGGCGCCUUCAGGCUGAUACGGCCUGAGACGGUGGCGGUGGGCUCGGGGCGCCCUAAGAGCCUUGCGCUUCGCCUCCCUUUCGCUCUGCCCUGCAGGUCGGGCCAACGGGCCGCACCUCUCCGCGGGCGUGCUGUACUUGAGCCGCACGACCCGCGACCGGACUCCAGCCUGCUGACGCCGGCCCGCCCCCCCGAACACCGCCAACACCAGACCAGCAAGCGCCUGGCCGGGCCCGGGGGCCCGAGGGGCUUCCAGGACCCCCCAUUGACCGGGAGGGCGUGCGUGCAUGCGUGCGCGCGGGGCCUGGGGGCUGGGCUGAGGGGUGCGGAGGUCUCGGCGCCCUCCCACCCGCGGCCACUCCAGACCCGGCCGCUGCUGAGCGGGCCUCCCCGAUCCCAUUCGCUGCUCAGGCCCGCGGCCCGGGAGGGGCUGGGGCUGCGGGGGGGAUCCAAGAAUCGGGACGCGUGGCGGGGGCUAAAGGACCUCUUCUGGUAGGCAAAAAGCCUCGAGCACCCGGGAUUCCCAGGUGGUCUCCCAUCCAAGAUACUAACCAGGCCCGACCCUGCUUAGCUUCCGAGAUCAGACGAGAUCGGGCGCCUUCAGGCUGAUACGGCCUGAGACGGUGGCGGUGGGCUCGGGGCGCCCUAAGAGCCUUGCGCUUCGCCUCCCUUUCGCUCUGCCCUGCAGGUCGGGCCAACGGGCCGCACCUUUCGUCCCGGGCGUGCUGUACUUGAGCCGCAAGACCCGCGACCGGACUCCAGCCUGCUGACGCCGGCCCGCCCCCCCGAACACCGCCAACACCAGACCAGCAAGCGCCUGGCCGGGCCCGGGGGCCCGAGGGGCUUCCAGGACCCCCCAUUGACCGGGAGGGCGUGCGUGCAUGCGCGCGGGGCCUGGGGGCUGGGCUGAGGGGUGCGGAGGUCUCGCGCCUCCCACCCGCGGCCACUCCAGACCCGGCCGCUCUCGCUGAGCGGGGCCUCCCCGAUCCCAUUCGCUGCUCAGGCCCGCGCGGCCCCGGACGUGUCGGUCUUCGGCGCCCGCCGCCUCCCAACCCCCGCGGCCCAGGGGCCUCUGAACCUCCUGCGGGCCUAGGCGCAGCGAAACUUGAGCGCCCAACUUGCCCGGCACCUGUCCGUGCCCAAACCCACCAGAAGCCAGGGAGGCGCGGUCGACCGGAGCGCCUCAGCCCCUCCCCUUCGCACUACCGAGGCCCCCCCUUUGCCCCCACGCCAAGCCCUCGACCUUCCUGAGAGAGCAGACGAGCCACAGGCAGGCACACAGACAGACACACAGACACUCGCACGCACCCACGCCAAGGGAGACAGCUGGCCUGCGCAAGCUCCUCAGCCAGAGCCAGAGCGCCUGGGAGAGGCCGGGGCCAGACGAACGGGCCGGCGGCUGGCUGUCAGGAGAUACAGAGGCAGAAAUACAUGAAGAUUCCGAGACAGACUCCAAGACGGCAAGAGGAGAUACACACACACACACACACACACACACACACACACACACACACACUUGAGUGUGGUCUUUGGAAAUACUUGUGUUCGUAGUUGCUGGGUUGAGCCCAACUUUAAUACAACCCAUGGACUGCGGCCCAUCAGGCUCCUCUGUCCGUGGCAUUUCCCAGGCGAGGAUACUGGAGUGGGUUGCCAUUUCCUUCUCCGGCGGGAUCUUCCCCACCCAGGGAUCAAACCCCAGUCUC
ensembl:lncRNA